AUUGAACGCUGGCGGCAGGCCUAACACAUGCAAGUCGAGCGGAUGAAGGGAGCUUGCUCCUGGAUUCAGCGGCGGACGGGUGAGUAAUGCCUAGGAAUCUGCCUGGUAGUGGGGGAUAACGUCCGGAAACGGGCGCUAAUACCGCAUACGUCCUGAGGGAGAAAGUGGGGGAUCUUCGGACCUCACGCUAUCAGAUGAGCCUAGGUCGGAUUAGCUAGUUGGUGGGGUAAAGGCCUACCAAGGCGACGAUCCGUAACUGGUCUGAGAGGAUGAUCAGUCACACUGGAACUGAGACACGGUCCAGACUCCUACGGGAGGCAGCAGUGGGGAAUACUGGACAAUGGGCGAAAGCCUGAUCCAGCCAUGCCGCGUGUGUGAAGAAGGUCUUCGGAUUGUAAAGCACUUUAAGUUGGGAGGAAGGGCAGUAAGUUAAUACCUUGCUGUUUUGACAUUACCAACAGAAUAAGCACCGGCUAACUUCGUG
rnacentral:rRNA from 1 species